UAGACUUUUGGCAAUCUAUAGAGAUCUGGCAGAACGCCGGCGCUGACAAAUGAAAAGAAAGCUUUGAUGAGCUCCUGGGGUUGUUGGGCACCCGUUUACAACGUCAGGACACCUUCAUGCGGGACAGUAUACCACCAGCGGAAAGACUGAUUAUUACUUUGCGCUAUUUAGCUACAGGCCAAUCUUUGAUCAGUCUUCACUCCACCUUCCAGAUCGGGAAAUCCACAGCCAGUGUGAUCGUGAAGGAAACCGUCAGCGCCAUUUGUCAGGUCCUUCAUGCUGUUGUGAUGGGCCAACCAAACAAGGAGGAGUGGCUGAAAAUUGCGGAUACUUUUCAAAAAACCUGCAAUUUCCCGAACUGUGUAGGAGCAAUUGACGGAAAACACAUCCGCGUUCUGAAGCCAAUGAGGAGUGGCAGUCAGUUCUAUAAUUAUAAAAAAUACUUUUCUGUUGUUCUUUUUGCGGUAUGUGAUGCUAACUAUUGUUUCCGUAAUAUCGAUGUGGGUUCCUAUGGCAGCAGCUCUGACUCUGCUGUUUUUGGGCAUUCUGACUUUGGUCAAAUGCUCAGUACUAAUGCCCUUGACCUUCCCGGGAACACCACACUGCCUGGCACCACUUAUCCAUCUAUGCCAUUUGUUUUUGUUGGUGACGAGGCAUUUGCUCUAGGUGAGCAUCUUAUGAGGCCAUACUCCAGCCGUAGUCUCUCCAUUGCGCGACGUGUUUUUAAUUAUCGCCUUACAAGAGCAUGCAGGGUGGUGGCGCAUUCGGCAUAAUAGCCAACAAAUGGCGAGUUCUGCACGCACCCAUAAAUCUCAAAUUGGAGACCGCCAUCUCGGCUGUGAAGGCAGCAUGUGCUCUUCACAAUUUUGUCCGAGAAAGAGAUGGCUUAAAUUUUGAGGAUUCGUUGAGCCAUUCCAUGAAGAGUCAGAUUCGCAGCGGUGUUCGUGGGACCACACAUGGUGCCGCCAUUCGGGACCGCUUCACUGCUUAUUUUAUGUCACCACAGGGGGAGUUACCUUGGCAAAUGCAAGCCAUAUAAAUUUAUAUUAUUUAGUCUUUUGCAGCUGCAAAGAUUGUUUCUUUAACUUGUAAUAUUCCAUUUUCUUUGUUUAUUGUAAUGGCUGAAUUAAAAGAUUUGAAGAGUGAA